UUCAAGACCAGCCUGGCCAAUGUGGUGAAACCCUGUCUCUACUAAAAAUCAAAAAAAAAAAAAAAAAAAUGGCUGAUUUCAGAGUCAUAUUCAGGUUUAAAUUCUGUCAUUCAGCCCAAACUCAUUACUUUAUGUUACUUAUGGGAACCUCAUCUAAAAAGCAAGGAUCCUGAUACCUGCCUCAUAUUGUGGCAAGGAUCAAAUGAGUCAAAUAAGAUGCUUGUGAAAGUGAGGACAGGAUCUAUCCUCAACACCUAGUGCAAUUCUUUUUACACAUUAGGUACUUAGUAAUUUGGGUUGAAUUGUGUUGAACUAACCUGGCGGUAUAGGCAAAAUUUGGAAGUUUGGUUUUCAGAAAGUCUUGACUUCCUCUUAUCUCUAAGUAAUUGGCAUGUCCUCUAAUUCAUAUUUUCCCCCCUCAUCUGUUGGGUGAAAUACUGUUUAUCCUUUAGUACUAAAAUUAAAAGUUACCUCAUUCUUCUAGCUAGCUGAUUUUUUUUUUUAAUCUAGGCUAAAUCAUGAAUACAUUUACAUUUAAAUAAAAUAUUACAGUUGAAAGUAAAGGGUCCUUUCAUUAUCUCCACUUCCAAUUCCAGUACCCUGUGUAAAGGAAAACAUAUACAUCUUGCAGACAUUUUUUAAUGUGUUUGUAAUAUAGGUACAUAAAAAUAUAUGUGCUUGUUUUAAGCAAAUUUCAUACUCUGCAACUUGCCUUUUUUCUUAAUACGUUCUGGAGAUCUUAUCUAGUCAGCCUCUAAAUUAGAGUUCUUCAGAAAACCAAUGGGAUGGAUGAAUGGACUCAAGAGAUUGUGGAAACCAAGAAGUCCCACAAAAUACCAUCUGCAAGCUGGAGAACCAGGAAAGCUGAUUGGGAUAAUUCAAACUGGGUCCAGAGGCCUGAGAACUGGAAGGGCCAGUGGUGUAAGUCCUGGUCUGAGACCAAAGGCUUGAUCAAGAAUCAAGAGCAUCAACAACCGAGGGCAGGAGAGGAUGGGUUUCCCAGAUUAAAAAAGCAAAUUCACGCUUCCUCCCCCAUUUUGUUCUAUUUGAACCUUCCGUGGAUAGGAUGAUGCCCACCUGCAUUGGUGAAGGUCAUCUUUACUCAGUCUACCCAUUCAAAUGCCAAUCUCUUCCAGAGGUAAUCUCACAGAUUUAGAAAUGUUUCGCCAGCUAGCUGAACAAUCCUUAGCCCAGUCAAGUGCACACAUAACCAUAACAAUUCUUACUAAUCUACCUCAUUCUUUUUUAUCUUCUGCAUAAUAAUCCACAACAUGAAUGUUCACGUUUGACCUCUAUUGAUAGACAUUUCGGAUGAUGCCAAUUUCUUUUUCUGGUUUUUGUUUUUUGUGUGUGUGUGUUUUUUUUUUUUUUGAGACGAGGUCUUGCUCUCGCCCAGGCUGGAGUGCAGUGGGUGGGGUGAUCUCGGCUCACUGCAACCUCUGCCUCCCGGGUUCAAGCAGUUCUCCUGCCUCAACCUCCUGAGUAGCUGGGAUUACAGGAGUGUGCCACCACACCUGGCUAAUGUUUGUAUUGUUAGUAGAUACAGGGUUUCACCCUGUUAGCCAGGAUGGUGGAUGGGCAUUUGAAUGGGUAGACUGAGUGAUCCUGACCUCGUGAUCCACUCCCCAGUCUCCCAAAGUACUGGGAUUACAGGCGUGAGCCACGGCACCAGGCCCUCUUUUUCUAUUUAAACAGUGCUUCCGUGAAUGUCCUUGUGUACACCUCCUUCUGUACACAAUGAUGUUUAUCUGAUGCACAUUGCCAAUCAGUGCACUUGCUGGAUUGAAGAAUGUGAGUGUUUGUAUCACUCUUUCAGUAGGCUGUACCAAUUUAGACUUGCUCUACCAAUUUAGAUUUCCAUCAGCAGUAAACAAAGACAUUCCUGCCUGGCAGUCUUGAACUCCUGCUAUUAUCUCUUAAAUUUUUGCCAGUGUGUGAAAAGUAGUAUCUUACUUUAACUUGUAUUUUCCUGGUCCAAUAGUGCACUAAAUGCCCGAGUUCUGUAUUUAUUCUAUUUGGAUAGCCAUUAGAUAGCCAUUAAGUCCACUCAUAGAGUUAUUUUAAAUGUUUUCCUUUAGUUUCCAACCACAUUUUCAAAUAAAAUUUAGAAUUAGCUUGUCAA
rnacentral:lncRNA from 1 species